UCCUGCAUCCAGAAAAGUUUCACGUGUUUC
rnacentral:piRNA from 1 species